UUUCUUGAGCAGCUAUGUGAAUUCAUGAUGCGAGUUGUGACUGUGUGCCAUCAUGCUCUUUUUCGGUAGGCCGCAUCUACAAGUGCUUGUUUACUGGCUCCGUGAGCUCACUACUGACGCUGCCAUUAGAUAUGCUGUCAACGGAAAAUUUGUUGGCAGAUUGUUUGCAGGGUUGUUUUGUGGUGACGUGCACACUGUGUGCAUUCAUCAGCCUGGUGUGGUUGAGAGAGCAGAUAGUCCAUGGGGGAGCACCAAUUUGGUUGGAGCAUGCUGCCCCACCCUUCAAUGCUGCGGGGCAUCACCAAAAUGAG
rnacentral:sRNA from 1 species